GACGAACGCUGGCGGCGUGCUUAACACAUGCAAGUCGAACGGUAAGGCCUUUCGGGGUUCACGAGUGGCGAACGGGUGCGUAACACGUGGGUGAUCUGCACUGCACUUCGGGAUAAGCCCGGGAAACUGGGUCUAAUACCGGAACGGACUGCGCGGUGCAUGCCGUGUGGUGGAACGAUAUAUCGGUGCAGGAUGGGCUAGCGGACUAUCAGCUUGUUGGUGGGGUAAUGGCCUACCAAGGCGCGGACGGGUAGCCGGCCGGAGAGGGGGACCGGCCACACUGGGACUGAGAGGCGGCCCAGGCGACUACGGGGGGCAGGAGUAGAGAAUAAUGCACAAUGGGCGCGAGCGUGAAGCAGGGACGCCGCGUGAGGGAUGACGGCCUUCGGGUUGUAAAACUCUUUCAGCAGGGACGAAGCGUUAGUGAGGGUACUUGCAGAAGAAGCACCGGCAAACUACUG
rnacentral:rRNA from 1 species